CAUAGCGACUAUCGUGGCAUAUCAAUAAGCGGAGGAAAAGAAACUAACAAGGAUUCCCUUAGUAACGGCGAGUGAAGCGGGAAGAGCUCAAAUUUGAAAUCUUCAAGGUUUUACCUUGACGAAUUGUAGUUUAAAGAAGUGUUUUCUGUUGGAGUUUUGGUAAAAGUUCUUUGGAAUAGGACAUCAUAGAGGGUGAGAAUCCCGUAUUUGACCAUUAUUUCCAGCUGUGUGAUACACUUUCAACGAGUCGGAUUGUUUGGGAAUGCAGUCCAAAAUGGGUGGUAAAUUUCAUCUAAAGCUAAAUAUUGGCGAGAGACCGAUAGCGAACAAGUACCGUGAGGGAAAGAUGAAAAGAACUUUGAAAAGAGAGUUAAACAGUACGUGAAAUUGUCAAAAGGGAAGCGUUUGACGCCAGUGUUGUUUCCUCGAAAAUCAAUUUAAAAUGGCUGGAUGCUAAGUUGCUAAGACUUUAUCAGCUUGUUUCUUAGUUUCUCUUGUCUUUCUUAAUGCACUUUUCGUUAACAAGUCAACAUCAAUUUCUUUUGUUGUAAAAGGGUAAGAGGAAGGUGGCUUUGACUUUCGGUUAAAGUGUUUAUAGCCUUUUACCUCUGCAGUCGGAGAGAUUGAGGUCUGCAGCGUAGAUCCUUCGGGGCUAGAUACGUUUGUGCUAAGUUAUAGCUUUUCAUAGACAACUUGUUGACUAUGUUUAGUCUUGUAGCUUACUCGCAUGCGCUAUUUUACCUACGCUUAGGAUGUUGACGAGACUGUCGAUCUC
rnacentral:rRNA from 1 species